rnacentral:rRNA from 1 species
CACGUAGGGGCUAGCGUUAUCCGGAAUUACUGGGCGUAAAGGGUGCGUAGGCGGUCUUUCAAGCCAGAAGUGAAAGGCUACGGCUCAACCGUAGUAAGCUUUUGGAACUGUAAGACUUGAGUGCAGGAGAGGAGAGUGGAAUUCCUAGUGUAGCGGUGAAAUGCGUAGAUAUUAGGAGGAACACCGGUGGCGAAGGCGGCUUUCUGGCUGACAACUGACGCUGAGGCGCGAAAGCAUGGGUAGCGAACAGGAUUAGAUACCCCCGUAGUCCCUGA